ensembl:snRNA U6 U6 spliceosomal RNA
AUGCUCGCUUUGGAAGCACAUAUACUAACACUGGACCGAUACAGAGAAGAUUAGCAUGGCCCCUGCUCAAGGAUGACAUGCAAAUCUGUGAAGCGUUCCAUUAAAAA